rnacentral:SRP_RNA from 1 species
ACCAGGUGUGGUGGCACGUGCCUGUAGUCCCAGCUACUUGGGAGACUAAGUUGGGAGGAUUGCUUGAGCCCAGGAGUUCUGGACUGUAGUGUGCUGUGCUAAUCGGGUGUCCGCAGUAAGUUCGGCAUCAAUAUGGUGACCUCCCAGGAGCGGGGGACCACCAGGUUGCCUAAGGAGGGGUGAACCAGCCCAGAUCGGAAACGGAGCAGGUCAAAACUCCCGUGCUGAUCCGUAGUGGGAUUGUGCCUGUGAAUAGCCACUGAACUCCAGCCUGGGCAACAAAGCAAGAUCCCAUCUCU